rnacentral:tRNA from 1 species
GGGGAUGUAACUCAAUUGGUAGAGUGUUGAUCAAAGCAGGUAUGGGGUUCGAUUCCUUGCAUCUCCA